rnacentral:rRNA from 1 species
UACGUAGGGGGCAAGCGUUGUCCGGAAUCAUUGGGCGUAAAGAGCGUGUAGGCGGCCCGAUAAGUCCGCUGUGAAAGUCCAGGGCUCAACCCUGGAAUGCCGGUGGAUACUGUCGGGCUCGAAUCCGGAAGAGGUGAGUGGAAUUCCUGGUGUAGCGGUGAAAUGCGCAGAUAUCAGGAGGAACAUCGGUGGUGUAGACGGCUUUCUGGACCGUAACUGACGCUGAGACACGAAAGCGUGGGUAGCAAACAGG